rnacentral:rRNA from 1 species
CGUAGAGUUGUAUCCUGGCUCAGGAUGAACGCUGGCGGCGUGCUAACACAUGCAAGUCGAGCGAAGCGCUUAAGUCAGAAUCUUCGGAGGAAGGCUUUUGUGACUGAGCGGCGGACGGGUGAGUAACGCGUGGGUAACCUGCCUUACACAGGGGGAUAACAGUUAGAAAUGACUGCUAAUACCGCAUAAGACCACAGUACUGCAUGGUACAGUGGUAAAAACUGAGGUGGUGUAAGAUGGACCCGCGUCUGAUUAGGUAGUUGGUGGGGUAACGGCCCACCAAGCCGACGAUCAGUAGCCGGCCUGAGAGGGUGGACGGCCACAUUGGGACUGAGACACGGCCCAGACUCCUACGGGAGGCAGCAGUGGGGAAUAUUGCACAAUGGGGGAAACCCUGAUGCAGCGACGCCGCGUGAGCGAUGAAGUAUUUCGGUAUGUAAAGCUCUAUCAGCAGGGAAGAAAAUGACGGUACCUGACUAAGAAGCCCCGGCUAACUGCGUG